AGACAUGGUGAGUUUGGUUGCAGCUCUGGGGAGGCAUAUUUCUCCUCUGCAGUUUACACAUCUCUCUGCUGGCUGGUGAGGAAGGGGAUGGUAUCACAAGAUUUGAACAUCCCACUUUGAAUGCAGCUGCUUGUCAUAGGCAGUAUCAGAUGAGAGAAAGUGAAAGACCUACUAUGGGGUGGUUCCCUUCAGGACAGCACCCUCUAGCAGCUGAAAUCAAUGGGAUUCUCGCCUCCUCCAGGUGAGCAAUUUCAGGACAGCUUUGCUCCUCUCAGAAUAGCAAUGUGUAACCAUAAUGUAAGAAACAGGGUAAGAAAGCAGGGGAAAUGCAUUCAGUACCUUGUUCCAUGACCCUGAAUAUUUCAAUAUUUAGUUGUGUUCCAUCCUUUUUCUCUUCUAUUUAGUGCACAGGACUCCUCUAGAGUCAGCAGAGGUCUGCGUGCCUUCAGCCUGCCGGUGCUGUGUUCACUGAACAGUGACUUGGAAACUUCAACAUCUGCUUUUCACUAAGGAACAUUUUGAGAUUUUCUACUGUCCUCAGCUGGUACCUUCUGACUUGUGCUCAGAGUUGUCACUGUCAGUGUGAACACUAUCAAAGACCUGGAAAGAUGGAAUGGUGCAUUUUCCCACAGGAAAUAACAGUGAGCAAGUUGCAUGUUUAAGUUAGGCAUAUUUAUGUGUGAUGGGAUAUUCAAAAGUAAGCAUCCUCCAGAAGGAUCCCUUCUGCAAUCAAAGUGAUGUCUCAUCCUCAGUGUAAAUGAGAUGGGUGUCUUCCAGCUCUUUCCUUUCACACACAUAAGAUAAUUUUUGUAUGGGUCUAGACAUUUCCAGUCGCUCCUAGUCAAACCUAAGAAAGUUAUAUCUUAGUGUAUAUUUUUAGAAUGAGAUUUAUACUAAUCCCAGUCAAAGCUUAGCACCCAAAGUCAUCUCCAAAGCUAGGCAUGCACUGUAAGAAGGAAUCUGAAUGGCAAGUCCCCUUGGGUGCCUAGUUCUUGGAGCAGGUCCCAGAGGCAGACCCUGCCACUGGUCACUUCUUGCUGGCUGGCCUUUAUUCAGGAAAGCUUCAACCCUCAUGACUGAAACAAAACAUCCUUGAGGAACUUAUGAAUAAGUCCAUUUGCUUCCUGCCUCAAACACUUCUAAAACAUUAACCUGAAGCGUAAACGUUUCUGCCUUUCAUUUCCUUGGGGAUGACAGGAGAGAGAGACUGAGACUGAUUGCAAAAGCUGUAGUGCUUGUCUGAAGUUUUUAGCCUGACUCUGGUCAGGCCCCAGGUGACCAGCUAAUGAAAAUAAUUCAAACUUUACCAAAACAAGAGCCAUUUAUAAUGUGGAAAUUCUAGACAGACAGCUCCACAAAACCCUGGGAACAAACAUGGAGAUAAAUCUGCAAGGAAAAACACCCCUACCUCACUGCUCACAAGGUCAAUUCUAAAUAGCAUCAUGGGGCACAGCCCCCACAUGUGGCAGAAAAUUAGUUAGCAUUAGUUGUUUUGUUUUGUUUUUCCAUACCUGUUUGCUUUUUUCCUCUAGAGUGAUGCAGUAUGAGGAAACAUUUUGCUUUGGGAAUAUUAGACAGCCUUUUCAAACCCAUGUCUUUUACAUAAGCAAACUGGGAUUAUUCUUAAGAACAGUUUCUAUAACCAUAAAUGAAAGAGGAAGAAUGAACCCUGGAAAAUGGGUAAAAAAGCCCUGACUUGAAAUAAAUACAACACAGCCAUGAAGCAAGACAUGGAACAGUGAGAGGAACAUGCAUGAAAGAGGAAAUGAGCUGUGGCUCUCCAAUAAGAAAACUGGAAGCUUUCAGAUGUCAAAAAUCUCCCAGAAACAGAAAAAGGAAGAUGGCUUGCAUACCAUGGCUCACAGGGUUGAGAGCUUGGUCAGCACCUCCAAAGCACAGCUGGAGGUAAAGAGUGACUGGGAGCCAUGGCACCCCAGUGAAAUUCUCCACCAGGGCUGGUGUCCCCAGGCCAGGAGAUCAGCAGUCUGCUCCUUCCUGCUCUCCAGGUAGGAGCUCCUGGGCAGAGCGGGGCCAUGGGACACGCUGGUGCUUGGUAGAAGUUUCCCAGUCAAAAGACUUGCAGUUAUGAGGAAGGUGCAUGCUGACCCUUGCAGGUUUGGGACCAUCCUCAGGACAUGUCUGAAGACCACACAACGAAGACAAUGAAGAACAAUUUAGAGUCAGUACCAAAACUCUCACCAAGAUGUUCUCAGAGAUCGUCUCAGAUAUGGCACAAAAUGAUGAGUACAGACUGAACAGACAGCACAAACAGCACAAACUGAAUAGACUCAGUUAAGUCCACUUAAAAGCCUUAUCUAAGCCUUUUUAAUGUAGGGAUUGCAACUUAAUUAAAAUGAAGUGCUUAUAAUGUGAGUUUUGUAAAUAAAAAGUCUUUAGAGGUGCACAACGUGUAACUAUUCUUUUUUUUUUUUUUAUUGUAACUUCAUAUUAAAUUAAAAAGCAUAUAAAAACCUUUGCAUUUAUACAUAAAUACCCCUUGGCAUUUAUUAAUACUUUAUUUCAUAAUAGCUAUUUUCCAAGCAUUUACUAAGACCUCUGUGAAGGUACAAAAUGUAUUUCUGAUUCCUGUGGAAAUCAGUAAUUGGAAAAUUGUCUUUUUAGUAAUUCCUGCCUUUUGAG